rnacentral:sRNA from 1 species
GCAGUAGAAGUUAUGGGGCCUUAGUGCCUAAGUUGAUGGUCAAGUGUUAGGCCUCAAGCCUCUAAACCCACAAUGCCAGUUGGCAUAUGACAUGCUUAUACGUUUCUGGCCUGUGUAAGGACUUUUCUUCCACACCCUUUGUAACCGAGACGGCUUGGGCGAACUCGAGAUCAUCUCACACCAAACCACCAGUUCUUUUCUUUUCUUUUCUUCUUUAUUAUUGAAUGCUUGGGGAAUUGCAGAGUACAUCUACGCAUAGUGUUUUUAAAGUAGUGCACAUGAAAAACAUUGGUUCUGUCGUGUGCCAUUAAUACACAUCUCCAUGUGUUUUGUGGUCAACAGCGAUUUUCUCUAUUUCCUUUUUCUCAUUACCUUGGUUAUGGUUCUCUCUGCCAUUCUAUCAGUUUAUCUACUGUAUAUGAUGUCCGAAACCCGGAGUGUCCUGUGAUGGUUGAGCGCAUCAACGCGUGGCCGUGUUGGAGUCCGAAUUCUCUCUUGCUGUGCUGGGAACAACAUCUCACCUAAGCAAGCCCCUUAACCCCUUGACCUCCUUUCCUCGUUCUAUCAACCUCCCAGCAAAUGCACCGUCAACACAAUAGCCAGAGAUAUUCAUUUGCCACAUCUUUGCGUUUCUUAACGUUUUCCUUAUCGUAGUCCGUCUACCUUUCCGUCUAUAUUACAUUCACAAUGGGAUUUCCACCCAGAGGGACAGAGACCAUUUCCAAGCCCAUUCUCCACGUCGAAGCACGUAUCAGGAAUGAGGGAAACAUCAUUGUCCGGACAGACAUCGUGGGUGCUUAGUUUGAUCCAUCGAUUACACACCACUCUGUCAUUUCUGCUCUUUUUAUAAUGAUAUCUAAACAUGAACAAAAAUAUCCUUACACAAAUAGGUCCGCGAUGAAGUCACAAAAUGGCUCCUGGAAACUUUCGCUGUCCUAAGCCUGGGACAGGAGAUAACCUCCUUCUGUGAGACAGCAGACCGAACCUGUGAAAAUCAUUAUAAUUAAUCCAUCUGAAUUUCCACGGCAGUCAAGACUGACCAAAAACCAAACAAAAAAUAAACAGCGGACCUAACGGAUACUUACUGCCAAUAUCUCGACGUGGUAAAGGUGAUGGAAUGCGCAGGGCCCCAGCAGCAGAGCGGUGCAUACCGACUUGAGGACGUCGAAUUGGACGUGCAAGCAUACCAGCUGCAUGGAUCUGAGAGCAUAAACGACUCGCCGCAGCCGACGUAUGCUGACGUCAAUGGGAAAAG